rnacentral:rRNA from 1 species
GACGAACGCUGGCGGCGUGCUUAACACAUGCAAGUCGAACGGAAAGGCCUCUUUUUGCGGGUGCUCUCGUGUGGAACAGGGGAGUGACACACGUGUGAGCUGCGCUCUGCACUGGGGGAUAUGCCGGAGACACUGGGUAUUAUCCGGGAGAGGAUCCUGCUUCGGGUGGGGGGGUGGAAAGUUUUGGCGGUUGGGGAUGGGCUCGCGGCUUUUCGGCUUGUUGGUGGGGUAUUGGCUUACCAAGGCGUUGACGGGUAGCCGGCCUGAGAGGGUGAACGGCCACAUUGGGACUGAGAUACGGCCCAGACUCCUACGGGAGGCAGCAGUGGGGAAUAUUGCACAAUGGGUGGAAGCCUGAUGCAGCAACGCCGUGUGCGGGAUGACGGCCUUCGGGUUGUAAACCGCUUUCGCUCGUGACGAAGCUUUGUGUGACGGUAGUGGGUAAAGAAGCACCGGCUAACUACGUG